GGGGAUGUGGCGUAAUUGGCAGCCGCGUAUGCCUUAGGAGCAUAUACCGCAAGGUGUAAGGGUUCGAGUCCCUUCAUCCCCACCA
rnacentral:tRNA from 1 species